rnacentral:lncRNA from 1 species
CUCUAUUAAGCCUAACCAUGUAGCUGUUAGUCUUCUGCAGGUUAGUUUGAAGGGCUGUAUGAGGCAGGCCUAAUUUAUAAGGGCUGACCCCAUUCAUCAGACUGAGUGGUCCAAGGAAGAAGAAAACCAGUGGAGAGCUAGCCAGAUGAGAAGAUCACAGCAUAAUGUAACAGAAAACCAUAGAAUUAGAUACAGACAGACAAGUGUCUGACUGAGUUUGUUAAAGGUUUUCAUGCCUUUCUCCCCCUCUAGGCUGUCAGAUUCUUUGGGCAAGGACUGAGUCAUCUCUGCAUUCUCAGCACCUGGUGCAAUUUAAGCAGAAAUAUCUUGAAGAUUUUUCGUGUCUUCAGGGAGAUUAGGGAUGGGAAUGGAAUGGGAACGCCAAUGCAGGAAGGAUGAGAAGGUGGGGUUCUUUCCCAAAUGGCCCCUGGCAAUGAGGUCUUCCUGAAACCAGCGGGCUUCCUGAGAAACGUGAAGAGAACCAGGUCGCCUGGGAUUUCUUCCUUCCCCAGAAGGUCUCCCCAAGUCAACAUCGUCUCUGAAUUUUCUAUUUCCCUUUGGCAAAUAAAAGAAAAAGUAAGUAAAACAUCUUAGUCUAUGCAUGACCAAAGGUUAAACCUUUUAUUGCUUCAUUUUGAUUGUAUCAGCUUUUCAGGACAACGUUUUCAAGGCCACAGCUUAUUUUAAUAGCUGUAAUAAUACCAGUAUUUUCUGAUAAUAAUGGCAAACACUUUUUUUGGCAAGCACUUUUAGUGUUUGUUGUGGUUGUGCGCCAGGCAUGGUUCUCAGCAGUUUUCACUAAUUCAUUUCAUCUUCACAACAACCCUAUAAGGUAAGUUUUAUUAUCGCCCUUUCUACAGAUUGGCACAUGUUGUUUGGCUUGCCCCUAAACUACAUAGACAGCAAAAGACUGAGAGAGAAUCUGGAGAAGACAGUCUUGCUCCAGUUCAUGCUUUUAUUCAUGGCACUCUGCUGACCUCUCAGUCACCAUGCUGUUUACUUUACAUACAUUGUCUUAUUUAAUCUUCACACAGUGUAAGUUUUACUAUUUAUCUCUAUUUUACAGGUGAGGAAUGAAGCUCAGUAGUGGUUA